ACCACUAAGGUCCGUGGCCUCUGGCAGGGACGACACCAGUGAGCACUGGCAGCGUAGCUCAGACUCCUGGAAGCAAAGGUUCGAGACCAUUCUUAGAAAAGAUACGAGGGCUGGGGUUGUAACUCAGUAGUAGUGUGCUUGCUUAACUUGCCUGAAGCCCUGGGUUUGAUUCCCCAGCACCCAAUGUAAGUGUGGUGCCCAUGCCUGUAAUGCCAGCUCCUGGGGAGGCAGAGGCAGGAGAGGCAGGUCAUCCUGUGCUGCACUGCAAGGUCGCAAGGUCGCAAGGUCGAGGCCAGCCAGGGCUUCCUGAGUCCCAGUCUGGCUUCCUGAGUCCCAGUCUCAGGAAAGUUUAAAGAAAAAUCGACACAACACAGGGGGUUGCAAAGAGUGCUCAGAGGGCAGUGGCAGAAGCCAGGUCCUCUACCCACUGCUCCCUCUCCCCAGAAUGAGGGAGGCCACACCCCUCAGUCUCUCAAGGCCAGCUUCAGAGAGCUGCUGUGACCUCACAGCUCUCAGAGUUCCAUUCUCUCUAAGCCCCCUACAGUGCCAAGCCCAGACACUGAUGCCCAGCAACCUCGACUUAUAACUCUACUUAUAUCUAGUUCCUUCCUGUCUUGUGACUCACACCACAUAGGCUAGCUAGGUCAAGUGAUAUGGAUCUUAUCACCCUCCCCCCACCCCCCAAAAAAUUGUAAAAUGUCCCCUUUCUUUCCCUUCAGGGUCCCCAUCAUGCUGUACCUGGUGGCUCUCUUUCCUUAUGCUCUCCCGCUUCAGGCCCCAUCGUGGGCGCCUCUGCUCAUGAGCCUGUAGCUCUCCCUAAUAAAGCUCUAUGAAGGGUGAUUCGCUUCAGCCUGUGUUUGCUAUGACCUUGACUUGUCUGUUAUACAGCAGAAAGCUUGUCUCUAAGAGUUACUAGAGGGAACUCAAGGCUCUCUGAAAAAUACCUUUAAAGCCAGACACGGUAGCUGUGCCUGUCAGGUCAGCACUUAGGAGAUGGAGCCAGGAGGAUCAUCAAGACUUCAUGGGUCUCCUCAUCUACAGGCUAGCCUGGGCCACAUGAAUCCUAGCGUCAUAAAAACCAACCUGGAAACUGUCCACGACAAGAAUUUUGAGCAGGGGGCCGUCAGCCAUGAAACCCUUUCCCUGGCGAGUGGCUACACUGUUGACAUCACAACCCUGUCACCUUAGAUUAUUAUCGUCACUUUCACGGCAGCUGCAGAGGAUCACCAGGACAGCCAGCCCAGGAAAUCAGCUCUCUUGGCCAGAGACAUGACCCUGGCCAUCCUAAUAGCCAACCUAUGAUUGAUGUAACCCUGAUCCUUGAGUGACAGACUAUGUCUUUGAUGUAAUACCCUUGUCAUACACUAUGGUGUAUAAGCUUUAAUUUUUUUUUUUUUUUAAUUUUGAGACAAGGUCUGGACUCAAAGCUGGUAUGUAGCCAGGGUGAUGAUUUUUUUAAUGAUUUAUUUCCUUGUGCAUUGUUUUAUCUGUAUGUCUGCAUGAGGGUGACAGAUCCCCUGGAAUGGAGCUAAUGACAGUUGUGAGCUGCCAUGUGGGUGCUGGGAAUUGAACCAGCAGCCAGUGCUGUCAAUCUCAGAGCUCUCUCUCCAGCCCCUAGAUUUACAGUUUGAACUCCUGAUUCUCCUGCUUUAACCUCUAGACUGGGGCUGUGGGUGAACGUCUCCCUGCUUCCUUUUGAUGGACUCAUUUGAAACAAGUGUUUCACUUUGUACCCUAGGCUGCUAGGGAACUCACAGCAGUAUUCUCUGCCUCUUCUUCCGGAGUGCUGGGCUUGGAUGUGUGUCCACUGUCAUCCUUGACUUCUUGCUGUAUCUUAGGUUGUUUUCACAUCUUCCCAAGCUUUCUGGCUUGAGUAGCGCCUCUUACCCCUGCAGGGUCACUGUUUCUUGGAAUAAAAUUGGUGCCGACCGGGAGCAUGUCUUUCAAAUACAAACCAGUGCAGAAUCUGCAAUGGAAUUAAUUUAUUGUGUAAUCUAUAACAAUGGGUUCACAACUUGUGUUUGAAGCCAGUGCAGCCUAGCCCGCAUAGGGUGCAAUAUAAGAAAUGUUAGCCGCUAUCAAAUACUGUGAAGCUGAUGUGCAUGACGAAGCUCAGGCUUUUUAUUUGUUUUUUUUUUUUCCAUUUUUUAUUAGGUAUUUAGCUCAUUUACAUUUCCAAUGCUAUAUAUCCCUCCACCUUGUAAGAUUUUUAUGCAAAUAUUUUAAUCCCUUCCCAACCUGGUAAAACCUUUGUUACACAAAGUAAACUGACUUAAGAGGC
ensembl:lincRNA D130017N08Rik RIKEN cDNA D130017N08 gene